CCCGGGCGGCUGCAGUGGGGAAUAUUGGACAAUGGGCGAAAGCCUGAUCCAGCCAUGCCGCGUGUGUGAAGAAGGCCUUCGGGUUGUAAAGCACUUUCAGUGGGGAAGAAAGCCUUGGGGCUAAUACCCUCGAGGAAGGACAUCACCCACAGAAGAAGCACCGGCUAACUCCGUGCCAGCAGCCGCGGUAAUACGGAGGGUGCGAGCGUUAAUCGGAAUUACUGGGCGUAAAGCGCGCGUAGGCGGUCUGAUAAGCCGGUUGUGAAAGCCCCGGGCUCAACCUGGGAACGGCAUCCGGAACUGUCAGGCUAGAGUGCAGGAGAGGAAGGUAGAAUUCCCGGUGUAGCGGUGAAAUGCGUAGAGAUCGGGAGGAAUACCAGUGGCGAAGGCGGCCUUCUGGACUGACACUGACGCUGAGGUGCGAAAGCGUGGGUAGCAAACAGGAUUAGAUACCCCAGUAGUC
rnacentral:rRNA from 1 species